UACGUAGGGGGCAAGCGUUAUCCGGAAUUACUGGGUGUAAAGGGUGCGUAGGCGGCACGCCGAGUCAGUUGUGAAACCCGUAGGCUCAACCUACGGCUUGCAAUUGAAACUGGCGAGCUAGAGUACAGGAGAGGAAAGCGGAAUUCCUAGUGUAGCGGUGAAAUGCGUAGAUAUUAGGAAGAACACCGGUGGCGAAGGCGGCUUUCUGGACUGAAACUGACGCUGAGGCACGAAAGCGUGGGGAGCAAACAGG
rnacentral:rRNA from 1 species